rnacentral:sRNA from 1 species
UUGAGUCCAUUAGAAACUGAUGUUCUCUCUCCCCAGAAAGCACACUCAGAAGCAGCAGUAAUAUAGGUUUUCACACAUGGGUCUUGUCAGAAUAACCCAAAGUCUUUUGUGAUGAGUCACUUUUUGCAGUGGGGAAAUACAUCAGUCUCCAUGCUGGCUCAAUCCUUGGCCUUC